UGUCAUUUGAGAUGUGAAUACAAUGUGUGAUGACUUCAGCAGAACGAGCAGCGUUUGUAUCUUCUCGAAUGUUAUUUGGUUGCAUUGGGAAUCCUUGUUCUCCUCAUCUGGUUCACUGGAAGUCUGUAGUUGUGAUGGCAGGCUACAGCUGCCCCACUACAACUGGGUACCACUUGUUGCUUUCAACCUGCUUUUGGCACCUGUCUUAGGGUUUACUGCUGUGAACAGACACCAUGACCAAGGUUGUACAAAGAGCGCUGAGGCUGACAGCCCUGGGAGAUCUCUGUGCUGGCUGCAGGUGGGACAUCCCUUCUCAGUUUUGAAGUUCCAGCAGUGUAUGCGGCAGGCUCAGCUAUGGUUGGUGGACAUUUCUUUUGAGACCCAGAUUGAGACUUUGAGCUCAGCCGGACCAUGGUGGCAUACGCAGGAAAGACCCCAGGAACAACCAGGACAGAUCCCCAGGACUGAGUCAGGGGCUCUGUCUGUCCUCCCAGGCUCCCGGCAGGAAGCCUGCCUGUUGGUUGCAGCUGCUCCUCCUGCUGAGCCCUUGCUUGGGCACUGGGAUGAUGUGUGGUCACAGGCACUGCCAAAGAUGGGGAAGAACCUGGUGUAGGCGGAAGAUCUUCUCCUCCACCUCCUCUGGAAGGCGCGGUCUCUUCUUCCCAGGAAGCACCAGCACAAUUUUCUAAUCAAGUUGAAGUCUGUGGCCCGUAGUUAGAAACAAUAAAUGAAAUGCAAUUUGAGCUAGCA
rnacentral:lncRNA from 1 species